rnacentral:rRNA from 1 species
CCUACGGGAGGCAGCAGUGGGGAAUAUUGGACAAUGGGCGAAAGCCUGAUCCAGCAAUGCCGCGUGAGUGAUGAAGGCCUUAGGGUUGUAAAGCUCUUUUACCCGGGAUGAUAAUGACAGUACCGGGAGAAUAAGCCCCGGCUAACUCCGUGCCAGCAGCCGCGGUAAUACGGAGGGGGCUAGCGUUGUUCGGAAUUACUGGGCGUAAAGCGCACGUAGGCGGUUAUUCAAGUCAGAGGUGAAAGCCUGGAGCUCAACUCCAGAACUGCCUUUGAAACUAGAUAACUAGAAUCAUGGAGAGGUGAGUGGAAUUCCGAGUGUAGAGGUGAAAUUCGUAGAUAUUCGGAAGAACACCAGUGGCGAAGGCGGCUCACUGGACAUGUAUUGACGCUGAGGUGCGAAAGCGUGGGGAGCAAACAGGAUUAGGAUACCCUGGUAGUCCACGCCGUAAACGAUGAUAACUAGUUGUCGGGGCUCUUAGAGCUUCGGUNACGCAGCUAACGCAUUAGUAUCGCCUGGGGAUACGGCNCAAGAUUAAACUAAAUGAAUUGACCGGNNGAGAGNGCGAGACGACGACGAGGAGAG